rnacentral:rRNA from 1 species
GUAAGGAAUAUUGGACAAUGGACGCAAGUCUGAUCCAGCCAUGCCGCGUGAAGGAUUAAGGUCCUCUGGAUUGUAAACUUCUUUUAUAAGGGACGAAAAAAGGAUUUUCUAAGUCGUCUGACGGUACCUUAUGAAUAAGCACCGGCUAACUCCGUGCCAGCAGCCGCGGUAAUACGGAGGGUGCAAGCGUUAUCCGGAUUCACUGGGUUUAAAGGGUGCGUAGGCGGGCAGGUAAGUCAGUGGUGAAAUCCUAGAGCUUAACUCUAGAACUGCCAUUGAUACUAUCUGUCUUGAAUAUUGUGGAGGUAAGCGGAAUAUGUCAUGUAGCGGUGAAAUGCUUAGAUAUGACAUAGAACACCUAUUGCGAAGGCAGCUUACUACGCAUAUAUUGACGCUGAGGCACGAAAGCGUGGGGAUCAAACAGGAUUAGAAACCCGUGUAGUCC